rnacentral:tRNA from 3 species
GGUUCCGUAGCUCAGCUGGAUAGAGCAACGCCCUUCUAAGGCGUGGGUCCUGCGUUCGAAUCGCAGCGGAAUCACAA